rnacentral:rRNA from 1 species
UACGUAGGGGGCAAGCGUUGUCCGGAUUUAUUGGGCGUAAAGAGCGUGUAGGCGGCCAUGUAGGUCCGUUGUGAAACUCGAGGCUCAACCUCGAGACGCCGAUGGAAACCAUGUGGCUAGAGUCCGGAAGAGGAGAGUGGAAUUCCUGGUGUAGCGGUGAAAUGCGCAGAUAUCAGGAAGAACACCCGUGGCGAAGGCGGCUCUCUGGGACGGUAUGCGUGGAGCACGCGAAAGCGUGGGGAGCGAACAGG